rnacentral:rRNA from 1 species
AUGGCUGUAGAGGGGGCCGGGAAGGGGGUGUCAUCGAUGUGCUGUUCAAGCGGCGAGUUGCAGCGGAGGGGCGCGGGCAAGAGGAUGCUAUCGAGGGUUCUUGCGGAUAGUGUUGAUCGUUCUGGGUUGUUGGAGUGGGCCAAAUACCUGACGACGGGUAAGAUAGAGGUGCUGUACAAGCAGUGGAUGCUCGGCUGCGACCAUAAGGCAAUUGCAAUAGCUUGUUGCUUCAAGGACGAGGGCCCUCUAUUAAUAGUGUGUCCAGCUGUUCUGCGUUAUACUUGGGCAGAGGAAUUGGAACGCUGGGAUCCUUCAUUUCUUCCAAAAGAUAUUCAUCUUGGUGUUGUAAUUUUAUCAACACACAGUAAGGAUUUAUGGUGGAAGGAGCGAGGCGUCAUAGCUGGCGAUUGCCAAAGAUGUCACCUAGCUGAUCAGCGACACGCCACACCACGCCAUUGGUGCACCUCAACAAGACCGGUGACUAACUGGUCUUUGACUCUGUUUCUGAGAUAA